UUGAUGACAUUUGGCAACAGUGAGUAGACUUGUAUUCCAAACUCCAAACCAAACAUAACCAACAUAACCUUAUAAAAAUUUCAGUUGUUAAAAAUGUUAAAUGAGUUAUUUAUUAUUGUUUUCUUAUAUUUUGCAAUUGUUAAGUUGGUUUACUUCGAAUUUAAUAGGCAUUAUUUACCAAAGAAUAUGCAUUACUUUGGUAUCUCUCCAGUUUUCUACAAGAAGUUUGGUGAUUUUGAAUUGGGAUUAUGAUGAAUUCAACCCAAAGGAAAUAAUGUGUACUAAUAUUUGAUGUGGAAAAAUUCCAGACACCAUAAAAAGUUGAGUUUCUUCCUGUUCCCAUGGAUGAAAAUGGGUUUGCAGAAUGAAAAGAAAUUGUUCAAUGUAAUAAACUUUCUAUGAACAGUCCUCAAUAUUGUUACAUUAACUUUGAAAUAUGCACUUUACAUUCUGAGGAGCAGGCCUUUGCAGAAAUGCCGUUGAAAAACAAUGCAAAAUAAAAUAAACAAAAUACAUCUUGAGAUUAAACAUUCCAGUUGAAGGUGUGUUCUUUCGUAAACUGGAAUGAUAAUUUUGUAAUUCUGUAGGCACAUCUAUUGAGAAGUUACAACCAGUGGCAAAGUGCCUCAAGGGAAUCUAUGUAUGAUAUUAUAAUUGGAGGGACAUCUCAUCUGAAGGAAUUACAAUUAUUUGCCAGUAUGCCAAAUGAAUUUUCAACAUCAAUCAUACUUUCGUGAAUUUAUUGAUGAAAAUAAAACUAGGUACAUGAUUUAUUAUUUACUUCCAAGGGAUUCUAAGAUACUAUGUGUAAAAAGUCCAAUAUGCAGUGAUGAGCGUGCUAAUAACCCGCAAAAUAUGGGAUAUAACGCUAAAGAUGGGAAACAUGGGAUGCUGUCUGAAGUAAAAAGAGAUGAAACUUCUAGAGGUGGAAAUUAUCGAUAUAAACAUAUAAAUUAAUAUAUAUUACAUAGUUUAUUAUUAUAUAUAUAUUACAUAGUUUCCCACCUUUAGACGUAUCAGAUGAGUAUGACAACUGUCACUAUGACAGGAGAAUUUUAUAAAAUACUCCUGUCACGGACGUCUAAAGGUGGGAAACUAUGUAAUGUUAUUGUUGACUAAGAGUGUUAACCUGCUAACUCCAUUUUUCACUGUGAGUGAUAUUGGGGUAGUUUCUAGGUCUGUGUACCUUCAUAAGCUGUCCCACAAGCCCGCUGGUUCCACUGUAGUUUAGAGAUAGUUAUUUCUAAACUACAUUGGUGUCAGCGGGUUUGUGGGGUGGUGUAUGAAAGUACACAGACCCAGAAACCAGCCCAAUAUCACUCAAAGUGAAAAAUGGAGUCAGCAGGUUAAAACUCUUAUCUGAUGUUAUGUUAAUUUAUUCGUUUAUAAGGAUAAUUUCCACUUCUACCAGUUUCAUCUUUUUUUAUCUCACAAGUUAAUGUUUUCCAUCUUUUUCCAUCUGUUCUCCAUGAAAUUUAUGAGUUCAUUUUUUGUACCUAUUAAACUUUAUUUUAAGGAUGAAUUUGAAAUGCAUUUAGGAAAUAUAUCUGUAAAAAAUAAAAUUUGUAUU
rnacentral:lncRNA from 1 species